UACAGAGGUCCCAAGCGUUGUUCGGAUUCAUUGGGCGUAAAGGGGUGCGUAGGCGGCGCGGUAAGUCGGGUGUGAAAUCUCGGAGCUUAACUCCGAAACUGCAUUCGAUACUGCCGUGCUUGAGGACUGGAGAGGAGACUGGAAUUUACGGUGUAGCGGUGAAAUGCGUAGAUAUCGGUAAGGAAGACCAGUGGCGAAGGCGGGUCGCUGGACAGUUCCUGACGCUGAGGCACGA
rnacentral:rRNA from 1 species